rnacentral:rRNA from 1 species
AGAACGAACGCUGGCGGCAGGCUAACACAUGCAAGUCGAACGCUGUAGCAAUACAGAGUGGCAGACGGGUGAGGAACACGUGGGAACAUACCCUUUGGUUCGGAAUAACUCAGGGAAACUUGAGCUAAUACCGGAUAAGCCCUUACGGGGAAAGAUUUAUCGCCGAAGGAUUGGCCCGCGUCCGAUUAGCUAGUUGGUGAGGUAACGGCUCACCAAGGCGACGAUCGGUAGCUGGUCUGAGAGGAUGAUCAGCCACAUUGGGACUGAGACACGGCCCAAACUCCUACGGGAGGCAGCAGUGGGGAAUAUUGGACAAUGGCCGCAAGCCUGAUCCAGCCAUGCCGCGUGAGUGAUGACGGCCUUAGGGUUGUAAAGCUCUUUCACCCACGACGAUAAUGACGGUAGUGGGAGAAGAAGCCCCGGCUAACUUCGUGCCAGCAGCCGCGGUAAUACGAAGGGGGCUAGCGUUGUUCGGAUUUACUGGGCGUAAAGCGCACGUAGGCGGAUCUUUAAGUCAGGGGUGAAAUGCCAAGGCUCAACCUUGGAACUGCCUUUGAUACUGGAGAUCUUGAGUCCGGGAGAGGUGAGUGGAACUGCGAGUGUAGAGGUGAAAUUCGUAGAUAUUCGCAAGAACACCAGUGGCGAAGGCGGCUCACUGGCCCGGAACUGACGCUGAGACGCGAAAGCGUGGGGAGCAAACAGGAUUAGAUACCCUGGUAGUCCACGCCGUAAACGAUGAAUGCCAGCCGUUAGUGGGUUUACUCACUAGUGGCGCAGCUAACGCUUUAAGCAUUCCGCCUGGGGAGUACGGUCGCAAGAUUAAA